GUAGUACUCCCUCCGUCCGAAGAUACUUGUCAUCAAAAUGAAUAAAAAAGAUACAUCUAGAACUAAAAUACAUUUAGAUACAUUCCCUUUUAUCUAUUUUGAUGGUAAGUAUUUCCGGAUGGAGGGAGUAGUAA
rfam:Triticum urartu cultivar G1812 contig861432, whole genome shotgun sequence.